rnacentral:rRNA from 1 species
GACGAACGCUGGCGGCGUGCUUAACACAUGCAAUUCGAACGGAAAGGCCCUGCUUUUGUGGGGUGCUCGAGUGGCGAACGGGUGAGUAACACGUGAGUAACCUGCCCUUGACUUUGGGAUAACUUCAGGAAACUGGGGCUAAUACCGGAUAGGAGCUCCUGCUGCAUGGUGGGGGUUGGAAAGUUUCGGCGGUUGGGGAUGGACUCGCGGCUUAUCAGCUUGUUGGUGGGGUAGUGGCUUACCAAGGCUUUGACGGGUAGCCGGCCUGAGAGGGUGACCGGCCACAUUGGGACUGAGAUACGGCCCAGACUCCUACGGGAGGCAGCAGUGGGGAAUAUUGCACAAUGGGCGGAAGCCUGAUGCAGCAACGCCGCGUGCGGGAUGACGGCCUUCGGGUUGUAAACCGCUUUCGCCUGUGACGAAGCGUGAGUGACGGUAAUGGGUAAAGAAGCACCGGCUAACUACGUGCCAGCAGCCGCGGUGAUACGUAGGGUGCGAGCGUUGUCCGGAUUUAUUGGGCGUAAAGGGCUCGUAGGUGGUUGAUCGCGUCGGAAGUGUAAUCUUGGGGCUUAACCCUGAGCGCGCUUUCGAUACGGGUUGACUUGAGGAAGGUAGGGGAGAAUGGAAUUCCUGGUGGAGCGGUGGAAUGCGCAGAUAUCAGGAGGAACACCAGUGGCGAAGGCGGUUCUCUGGGCCUUUCCUGACGCUGAGGAGCGAAAGCGUGGGGAGCGAACAGGCUUAGAUACCCUGGUAGUCCACGCUGUAAACGGUGGGUACUAGGUGUGGGGUCCAUUCCACGGGUUCCGUGCCGUAGCUAACGCUUUAAGUACCCCGCCUGGGGAGUACGGCCGCAAGGCUAAAACUCAAAGGAAAUGACGGGGCCCCGCACAAGCGGCGGAGCAUGCGGAUUAAUUCGAUGCAACGCGUAGAACCUUACCUGGGUUUGACAUGGAUCGGGAGUGCUCAGAGAUGGGUGUGCCUCUUUUGGGGUCGGUUCACAGGUGGUGCAUGCCUGUCGUCAGCUCGUGUCGUGAGAUGUUGGGUUAAGUCCCGCAACGAGCGCAACCCUUGUUCACUGUUGCCAGCACGUUAUGGUGGGGACUCAGUGGAGACCGCCGGGGUCAACUCGGAGGAAGGUGGGGAUGACGUCAAGUCCUCAUGCCCCUUAUGUCCAGGGCUUCACGCAUGCUACAAUGGCUGGUACAGAGAGUGGCGAGCCUGUGAGGGUGAGCGAAUCUCGGAAAGCCGGUCUCAGUUCGGAUUGGGGUCUGCAACUCGACCUCAUGAAGUCGGAGUCGCUAGUAAUCGCAGAUCAGCAACGCUGCGGUGAAUACGUUCCCGGG